rnacentral:rRNA from 1 species
GACGUAGGGCGCGAGCGUUGUCCGGAUUUACUGGGCGUAAAGGGCGCGUAGGCGGCCACCGCAAGUCGGUUGUGAAAUCUCUGGGCUUAACCCAGAAAGGUCAACCGAUACUGCGGGGCUAGAGUGCAGAAGGGGCAACUGGAAUUCGCGGUGUAGCGGUGAAAUGCGUAGAUAUCGAGAGGAACACCUGCGGCGAAGGCGGGUUGCUGGGCUGACACUGACGCUGAAGCGCGAAAGCUAGGGGAGCGAACGGG